rnacentral:rRNA from 1 species
UACCAGCACCCCGAGUGGUCGGGACGAUUAUUGGGCCUAAAGCAUCCGUAGCCGGCCUUACAAGUCCUCCGUUAAAUCUAGCUGCUUAACAGAUGGGCUGCGGAGGAUACUAUAAGACUAGGAGGCAGGAGAGGCAAGCGGUACUCAGUGGGUAGGGGUAAAAUCCGUUGAUCCAUUGAAGACCACCAGUGGCGAAGGCGGCUUGCCAGAAUGCGCUCGACGGUGAGGGAUGAAAGCUGGGGGAGCAAACCGG